rnacentral:tRNA from 1 species
UACCCCGUGGUGUAAUUGGCAACACAGAAGUUUUUGGUACUUCUAUUCCAGGUUCGAGUCCUGGCGGGGUAA